AUUGAACGCUGGCGGCAUGCCUUACACAUGCAAGUCGAACGGCAGCACGGGAGCAAUCCUGGUGGCGAGUGGCGAACGGGUGAGUAAAGUAUCGGAACGUGCCCAGUCGUGGGGGAUAACGUAGCGAAAGUUACGCUAAUACCGCAUACGAUCUAUGGAUGAAAGCGGGGGAUCGCAAGACCUCGCGCGAUUGGAGCGGCCGAUAUCAGAUUAGGUAGUUGGUGGGGUAAAGGCUCACCAAGCCGACGAUCUGUAGCUGGUCUGAGAGGACGACCAGCCAAACUGGGACUGAGACACGGCCCAGACUCCUACGGGAGGCAGCAGUGGGGAAUUUUGGACAAUGGGCGCAAGCCUGACCCAGCCAUGCCGCGUGCAGGAUGAAGGCCUUCGGGUUGUAAACUGCUUUUGUACGGAACGAAAAGGUUUGGCCUAAUACGCUGAACUCAUGACGGUACCGUAAGAAUAAGCACCGGCUAACUACGUGCCAGCAGCCGCCGUAACAC
rnacentral:rRNA from 1 species